rnacentral:rRNA from 1 species
AGCGAACGCUGGCGGCAUGCUUAACACAUGCGAGUCGCACGGAUCUUUCGGGAUCAGUGGCGGACGGGUGAGUAACGCGUAGGGAUCUAUCCAUGGGUGGGGGACAACUCCGGGAAACUGGAGCUAAUACCGCAUGAUACCUGAGGGUCAAAGGCGCAAGUCGCCUGUGGAGGAACCUGCGUUCGAUUAGCUAGUUGGUGGGGUAAAGGCCUACCAAGGCGAUGAUCGAUAGCUGGUUUGAGAGGAUGAUCAGCCACACUGGGACUGAGACACGGCCCAGACUCCUACGGGAGGCAGCAGUGGGGAAUAUUGGACAAUGGGCGAAAGCCUGAUCCAGCAAUGCCGCGUGUGUGAAGAAGGUCUUCGGAUUGUAAAGCACUUUCGACGGGGACGAUGAUGACGGUACCCGUAGAAGAAGCCCCGGCUAACUUCGUG